GGAGAGGUGCCCGGAGUGGCUUAUCGGGGACCAGAGCUUCAUGUUCGGUCGGGCCCUUGAGGCCCACGCAGGUUCGAAUCCUGCCCUCUCCGCCA
rnacentral:tRNA from 1 species